AUGAACGCUGGCGGCGUGCCUAAUACAUGCAAGUCGAGCGAACGGACGAGAAGCUUGCUUCUCUGAUGUUAGCGGCGGACGGGUGAGUAACACGUGGAUAACCUACCUAUAAGACUGGGAUAACUUCGGGAAACCGGAGCUAAUACCGGAUAAUAUUUUGAACCGCAUGGUUCAAAAGUGAAAGACGGUCUUGCUGUCACUUAUAGAUGGAUCCGCGCUGCAUUAGCUAGUUGGUAAGGUAACGGCUUACCAAGGCAACGAUGCAUAGCCGACCUGAGAGGGUGAUCGGCCACACUGGAACUGAGACACGGUCCAGACUCCUACGGGAGGCAGCAGUAGGGAAUCUUCCGCAAUGGGCGAAAGCCUGACGGAGCAACGCCGCGUGAGUGAUGAAGGUCUUCGGAUCGUAAAACUCUGUUAUUAGGGAAGAACAUAUGUGUAAGUAACUGUGCACAUCUGGACGGUACCUAAGCAGAAAGCCACGGCUAACUACGU
rnacentral:rRNA from 1 species